rnacentral:rRNA from 1 species
UACGUAGGGUCCGAGCGUUGUCCGGAAUUAUUGGGCGUAAAGGGCUCGUAGGCGGUUUGUCACGUCGGGAGUGAAAACUCAGGGCUCAACCCUGAGCGUGCUUCCGAUGCGGGCAGACUAGAGGUAUGCAGGGGAGAACGGAAUUCCUGGUGUAGCGGUGGAAUGCGCAGAUAUCAGGAGGAACACCGGUGGCGAAGGCGGUUCUCUGGGCAUUACCUGACGCUGAGGAGCGAAAGCAUGGGGAGCGAACAGG